ACCGUUGUAGCUCAGUUGGUAGAGCAAUGGACGUUACAGGCUCAUUCCGUCUUUUGCCUGGUUGUCAAUAUAUUGAUCUUUCUGGUUAGGAAAAAUAUUUACUUUGAUAAAACGGUUGGUGCCGUAGUAGUGAGAUACUUCGUCCCUCAGAAGUCGCGGGUUCAAAUCCCGUCAUUGGGA
rnacentral:tRNA from 1 species